UGGGGAAUAUUGCACAAUGGGCGCAAGCCUGAUGCAGCCAUGCCGCGUGUAUGAAGAAGGCCUUCGGGUUGUAAAGCACUUUCAGCGGGGAGGAAGGGAGUAAAGUUAAUACCUUUGCUCAUUGACGUUACCCGCAGAAGAAGCACCGGCUAACUCCGUGCCAGCAGCCGCGGUAAUACGGAGGGUGCAAGCGUUAAUCGGAAUUACUGGGCGUAAAGCGCACGCAGGCGGUUUGUUAAGUCAGAUGUGAAAUCCCCGGGCUCAACCUGGGAACUGCAUCUGAUACUGGCAAGCUUGAGUCUCGUAGAGGGGGGUAGAAUUCCAGGUGUAGCGGUGAAAUGCGUAGAGAUCUGGAGGAAUACCGGUGGCGAAGGCGGCCCCCUGGACGAAGACUGACGCUCAGGUGCGAAAGCGUGGGGAGCAAACAGG
rnacentral:rRNA from 2 species